CACGCACGUACAUUGUGAGCUUCCGUGAGUGGUUUUGCAACACAUUGAGGGUAUCUCCCUUUUUUCUUGUAGCUUCCACGCUACCACACCAACCCCUUCGCUGCGGCUACUGUCGGAUGGGUACGCGGCGAAAUCGAGCGUCGACUCAUACGCUUGACGGUGUUAGUAUCCGUUUGCCUCCGCGCUGCUCUCUGCUCCCUUUUCUUCGUCGUCCGUCUUUUCGCUUUGUCGGGUGCAUUCCCUCCCCGCGUCGCUCUGUGACCGAGCGAUACGUGCCGUUGCGUGCAUACAAGCGCUUGUGUGUCGACUGCGUGUGCAAGUCGAUGCUUAUGCUUUUUAGUGUGACGGUUAGGGAGUCGAAGUACGGAAAGGCAGUGCGCCCGUAAAGCGGGCGAAGGGGCAUCAUUUGUGUGCAUAAUUCGCUUACUCUUCUUUGGUUUUAGCUUUUCUCGGCUCGGAUCACUCAUAUCGUCGCGUCGCUGCCCCAUUCCAUCCAGCCGUACAGCUACAGGCGCCCCGCGCGCAGAUCGACAGAAGAAGUGGAAACCCCGAUCCCUGCAUCGUCUUGUUGGAUUUUGACCGUUAACUCGCCGGGCUUUUCUCUCUCUCUCUAUACCAUCUCUCUCACCUCUCCACCGAGCGUGCCGUCUGUCGGGGGGGGGCUCCAUCGCUAG
rnacentral:misc_RNA from 1 species